rnacentral:rRNA from 1 species
CCUACGGGUGGCAGCAGUGAGGAAUAUUGGUCAAUGGGCGAGAGCCUGAACCAGCCAAGUCGCGUGAAGGAUGACGGCCCUACGGGUGGUAAACUUCUUUUGUCAGGGAGCAAUUGAGUCCACGUGUGGUCUUAGCGAGAGUACCUGAAGAAAAAGCAUCGGCUAACUCCGUGCCAGCAGCCGCGGUAAUAAGGAGGAUGCGAGCGUUAUCCGGAUUUAUUGGGUUUAAAGGGUGCGUAGGCGGAAUAUCAAGUCAGCGGUAAAAUCGCGGGGCUCAACCCCGCUCCGCCGUUGAAACUGGGUCCCUUGAGUGCGAGAAGGGUAGGCGGAAUGCGUGGUGUAGCGGUGAAAUGCGUAGAUAUCACGCAGAACUCCGAUCGCGAAGGCAGCCUACCGGCGCGAAACUGACGCUCAUGCACGAAAGCGUGGGUAUCGAACAGGAUUAGAUACCCGAGUAGUC